GUCGAAAUCCAGUCAAAAUCAAAUCUCAAAAAACAAAACACUGUUCCCCGUCCCCAUUUUUUUCCGGGCAUAAACACGGGGCUCGUCCCGUGCUUGCUCGCCGCCGCCGGCGGGUCGUGCCGAGGCCGCCGCCUCUCCGUCCUCUGUUUCCCCGCCGCUGCCACCCAUAUAUCCCCUUCGCUUCUCCCCCGCGUCCGGUAUCUGUUGCGGGCGCCUCCUCAUCUCGCUUCUCCGCCGCCGGCGCGGUCUUCUACCCUUUCCGUGCUUCCCCGCCGCCACCGCCGCCGCCAUACCCAUCCAGAGCGACGGACCUCUUCAGCGUCUGCAGAUUCCUUCCUCUCUCGGUGUGACUAGGUGCAGAUUCGGUGCUCCGCAGUGCUAGUUUGAUUUCCCGUUCAUGAACUGUUUAUACAAUUGUUGGAAUAUACUGGAAAAUUGUCGGACUUGAUGCUUUCUUUUGAACUAAAUUAGAACUGCCUGCUAAAAUACCAGUGUAAACUGAAUUCAAGCGCAUAAGUUGUCUGUUUUCAUCCAGCGAUUCUCCUAGUUAAAUCCCACCAGGGGGGUGGGGGUGGGGUGGGGGGCACCAUCUAGAUCUACCGCUGUCACCCAUUGGGCACUAGGGCAAUUUUUGAAUUGGAUGUAGUUAUAAUUCCAGUUAUGCACCCGGAUGGUUGCAAUUGUACCAAAAUUAUGUAUCUUCAGUUGAUCCUUCGUAUCUCUUUGUCGUUCAUGCACUCUAGGGCGGUGUUUGGGUUUUGUGUAGUUAUAAUUCUUGUCAUGCUGGACAGGACUGUAUCUGUUAAAAAAAUCUUUAUGCUGCAAUUAGUUGUAUACUAUGAUUUUUGGUAACAUUUGAUCCCUUUUGGGCAGGGCUUGGAAGGUACUUGUUUGGUCACACUCUCAGCGCUGACUGGUGGAAGGUGUUGUGGCGCUCUGUUGUCUGAUAUCUCUCUCGAAUCCAUAGCGAGAGCGUGGCUGCUGUUUGUACUUUUUUGAGCUGUGACGGAAUGGAGUGCAACAAGGAUGAGGCCCUAAGGGCGAAGGAAAUUGCAGAGAGGAAGUUCCAAUCCAGGGACCUGCAGGGGGCCAAGAAAUUCGCCCUCAAGGCCAAGGCUCUCUUUCCGGAUCUUGAAGGUAUUGUGCAGAUGAUCACUACCUUGGAUGUUUACCUCACUUCGGAGGUGAAGAUUGCUGGUGGGAAGGACUGGUACUCUAUCCUUUCCGUGGACAUGUCGGCAGAUGAUGAAACUCUGAAGAAGCAGUACAGGAAGUUGGUGCUUCAGCUCCAUCCCGACAAGAACAAGUCAGUUGGUGCUGAGGGUGCUUUCCAGAUGGUUCAAGAGGCAUGGACCGUGCUGUCUGACAAAACCAAGAGAGCGCUGUUUGACCAAAAAAUGAAAUUGAUUGCAAUGCAACAGAGGACAUCUCAAUCAAAUAAGACAAGUGCAGCCAAUGGCUUUGAACAUUUCGCAGCCAAAGCACCCGCUUCCAAGGCAAGUGCAAACAAAGAAAAGACAGGAUCAGCAACAUCUGNNNNNNNNNNNNNNNNNNNNNNNNNNNNNNNNNNNNNNNNNNNNNNNNNNNNNCCACCCCCACCCCCACAGCGGCCGCUUCCUCGCCAUCAGGCUGCUGCUCCAGCUCCACCUCCAGCAGCACAACCUACAUUUUGGACCUCAUGCAACAGGUGCAAGAUGAAUUUUGAAUACCUCAGAGAGUAUUUAAAUCGCAAUCUGCUUUGCCCUAGCUGCCGUGAGCCAUUCAUAGCAAAAGAGGUGCCGAUGCCACCACCUGAGGUUGUUCAGGCAGUACGUGAUUCAAACAUCCGUGGUGCAACUGAAGAUGCAAGCACUGGCAGAAAGUUUCAGUGGGGUCUGUUCUCAAGGACAGCUGGUCCAGCUAGUGCUACUGCAUCAUCUGCUGCUGGUGUUCAAGCUGCUAAUAUGGUUCAGCAGACGUAUGAGAAAGUCAAGAGAGAGAGGGAGGAGGCGCAAGCUGCAGCAAGAAGGGAAGAAGCUCUUCAGAGGAAGCACAAUCCUCUAAAAAGGAAAGGAAAUGUGUCCGAGAAUGUUAACCAUGGAAUGGGUGAUGUUGCAUCUGGAAAGAAGAUGAAAACUGUGGGUAACGAUGCUGGAGUUGGUUCUUCCUCUAUUCUCUCAGGUCCAUGGGCCAAUUAUGUUGGAACACAAGGUGGAACUAUACCAUUUUCAACCAACAGUGGAGCCUUUGAGUUUCAAGGUGCUAAUGGCGUGAUACCGAAUUGGAGACCCAGGCCUUCUACUCGGAUCAGCAUAACUAGGACUUUCUCUAAGAAGGAUAUUAGGAGCAUUUUGAUUGACAAGAUGAAGAGCGAUUUGAUGGAGAAUCUAAAGGAGAUAAGAAGUAAACCACUCCAAGUUACAGUUAAUGGAAAAGCUAGCGAGAAACAUGUGGUUAACGAACAUGUUGAGGGUAAUGAAACUCUUGCAUCAGAUGAUUCUACUGCAAACAAAGAUGUCUGUGCUGAUCCAGAGGAGAAAGGUUCUGCUAAUAGCGCAGAUGCUGAAAAUGAAGAUGACAACACUUUCUCCUAUACUGUUCCUGAUCCUGAUUUCCAUGAUUUUGACAAGGAUCGUACUGAGGAAUCUUUUCAGAGUGAUCAAAUUUGGGCUUCAUAUGAUGAUGAAGAUGGUAUGCCCCGUUAUUACGCAUACAUUCAGAAAGUUAUCUCCUUGACUCCAUUUAAGGUCAAAAUAAGUUAUCUUGCAUCGAGGACAAAUAGUGAAUUUGGACCAUUGAACUGGGCUUCUUCCGGCUUCAUAAAGACAUGCGGUGAUUUCAGGAUUGGUAAAUACGAAACCGUAGAUAUAAUCAACAUGUUCUCUCACCAGAUUAAAUGGGAGAAAGGUCCACGUGGGGUGGUCAAAAUUUAUCCGCGGAAAGGCGAUAUCUGGGCCUUGUACCGAAAUUGGUCCCCUGAUUGGAAUGGAGAUACUCCUGAUAAUGUGCUUCAUGUUUAUGAUCUGGUUGAGUUUUCCAGCAUCAUCAGGACCGGGAUGUCAUCAAGAGGAUUCCAAAAGGAGAGAUGUUUCGGUUUUCACAUCAGGUUCCCUUUUACAGGAUGUCAGGGGAAGAAGCUCCAAAUGUCCCCAAAGGUAGCUAUGAGGUAGAUCCAGCUGCUAUCUCUAAAGAACUUCUUCAGGGAAUCACAGAAACUGUGAAGGAGGCAGAGGGAACUUCUAAAUGCUGAUGCUGACUCGGUUAUGCCUUUGUUGACCUGCCGUUUUGAAUCAAAUAUUUGUUGACAUCUGCUAGUUUCUAUAGUUUCCUAGCCUUGACUAUCACCUUUGUAUACAGUUGUUGAUCUGGGGCUAGCCAUUCCUAAAUCAUCUUGUAUGGCAUCUGGGCAUGUGUCUUGUCAUCUCAAAACUUAAACAGUGAUGCUGAUAAUGUGAGUUAGAGACAUAGUCAUUUUGU
rnacentral:rRNA from 1 species